AGAGUUUGAUCCUGGCUCAGAACGAACGCUGGCGGCAUGCCUAACACAUGCAAGUCGAACGAAGGCUUCGGCCUUAGUGGCGCACGGGUGAGUAGCGCGUGGGAACCUACCCUAUGGUUCGGAAUAACUGCGGGAAACUGCAGCUAAUACCGGAUGAGCCGGGAGACCGGGAAAGAUUUAUCGCCAUUGGAUGGGCCCGC
rnacentral:rRNA from 1 species